UACAUAGGGGGCAAGCGUUAUCCGGAAUCACUGGGCGUAAAGCGAGCGUAGGCGGUUAAUUAAGUUAUGUGUGAAAGCCUUGGGCUCAACCCAAGAACUGCACAUAAUACUGGUUGACUAGAGUGUUGGAGAGGUAAGUGGAAUUCCUAGUGUAGCGGUAAAAUGCGUAGAGAUUAGGAGGAACACCAGAGGCGAAGGCGGCUUACUGGACAACAACUGACGCUGAGGUUCGAAAGUGUGGGGAGCAAAC
rnacentral:rRNA from 1 species